rnacentral:rRNA from 1 species
UGCUGGAGGUAUCAGAAGUGCGAAUGCUGACAUAAGUAACGAUAAAGCGGGUGAAAAGCCCGCUCGCCGGAAGACCAAGGGUUCCUGUCCAACGUUAAUCGGGGCAGGGUGAGUCGACCCCUAAGGCGAGGCCGAAAGGCGUAGUCGAUGGGAAACAGGUUAAUAUUCCUGUACUUGGUGUUACUGCGAAGGGGGGACGGAGAAGGCUAUGUUAGCCGGGCGACGGUUGUCCCGGUUUAAGCAUGUAGGCUGGUUAUCCAGGCAAAUCCGGAUAAUCAAGGCUGAGGUGUGAUGACGAGGCACUACGGUGUUGAAGUAACAAAUGCCCUGCUUCCAGGAAAAGCCUCUAAGCAUCAGGUAACAU